rnacentral:snRNA from 1 species
CCCUAAACCCUAAACUCUAAAU